GGUAGCAAACAGGAUUAGAUACCCUGGAGAGGGCCUUUUACGAUGAAUUCUAAGUGUUGGAGGGUUUCCGCCCUUCAGUGCUGCAGCUAACGCAUAAGAAAGGGGCCUGGGGAGUACGACCGCAAGGUUGAAACUCAAAGGAAUUGACGGGGGCCCGCACAAGCGGUGGAGCAUGUGGUUUAAUUCGAAGCAACGCGAAGAACCUUACCAGGUCUUGACAUCUUCUGCCAGGCUAAGAGAUCAGCUGUUCCCUUCGGGGACAGAAUGACAGGUGGUGCAUGGUUGUCGUCAGCUCGUGUCUUGAGAUGUUGGGUUAAGUCCCGUUUCUUUUCGUCCCCUUAUGAUCAGUUGCCAGCAUUUUGUUGGGCACUCUGGUCAGACUGCCGGUGACAAACCGGAGGAAGGUGGGGAUGACGUCAAAUCAUCAUGCCCCUUAUGACUUGGGCUAA
rnacentral:rRNA from 1 species